rnacentral:lncRNA from 1 species
AUUCGGUUGGGUAGAGGGAUAGUGGAAAUGUCCUUCUUUCUACUGCAACAUGUAGAUUUUCAGACCUGCAGAGAACACAGAGCAUUGUGAAAGGAAACACCAGGCAUGAUUGGGGGAAAAACCUCUAUACGUAAAAGAAGUUACGUGAAUAAGUCUUUCUUGAAAUAAGGUCAGUGUUAUCCGCGUGUGAUUUAAGCUGUUGGAAGAAACAAAGAACCUCCAUCAACCUUCUGCUAUUAGCAACUCUGGGUACAGAAAGUUUGUUAAACCAAAAGUUCUUCACUAGCCCACAAAGCGUCC